rnacentral:rRNA from 1 species
GAGGAAUAUUGGUCAAUGGACGCAAGUCUGACCCAGCAACGCCGCGUGAAGGAAGAAGGCUUUCGGGUUGUAAACUUCUUUUAAGGGGGAAGAGUAGAAGACGGUACCCCUUGAAUAAGCCACGGCUAACUACGUGCCAGCAGCCGCGGUAAUACGGAGGAUCCGAGCGUUAUCCGGAUUUAUUGGGUUUAAAGGGUGCUCAGGCGGGGGAUUAAGUCGGCGGUGAAAUUUUGCAGCUCAACUGUAAAAGUGCCUUCGAAACUGGUUUCCUUGAGUGCGGAUGAGGUAGGCGGAAUUUGUGGUGUAGCGGUGAAAUGCAUAGAUAUCACGAGGAACUCCGAUUGCGCAGGCAGCUUACCAAGCCGUAACUGACGCUCAAGCACGAAGGCGUGGGGAUCAAACA